UCUGAAAGAAGCAGAGAGGAAACACGACGUUAGGUCUACAUUGUGAACAAGCCAGCUUAGAUCCCGUGGUGUUUCUUGAGAUCAAACCUUGUUUUGUGUGGUAGUGGCAAGCGAAGGGGUGGGUGGCAAAAAUCUAAACAAAUCACGAAGUCGUCAUUUCCCCGUGAACUUAAAUCGUGUGUUCUAAGGUUACCAUUAGCACUGGCGUCUCACAAAACGUUCAGUCUUGUCAUUGGGAAUGGAGGGAGGUAGCGUCAUUGGGAAUGGAGGGAGCUAGCGUCUGGAAUAGAAUCUGUUUUCCCCUCACAAGGUCUCAUUACGUAGCUCCCUCCACCACACCCAGCUCAGAUAGGAUUACAGGUGCGAGCCACUGUGCCUUGCCAAAUAGAGUGUUUUAAUACGAGCAGUGAUUGUACUAGUCGCUAUCAUUUAACUAAUAUGUGUGUUGUGAAAUGUGCCGGGUCCUACUGGGAAGUGUAACAGAUGAAGAAGAAGUUCUGGGAAUGUUAAGAACAUUUUACAUUCCCAAAUACCCGAGGCGAUGACUCUCUGCAGGAGCGCAGCAGAGCAUGUCGGUUGGAGGACUGGCUUGAAGUCAACUCUGUGUAACUUUGGUAUCAUGGACAAGAAACUUUGCGAGCCCAUAAGAAGGUGAUAUCGCACCUACUUCACAUGCUCGUCGUAAGCAACUUUGGCUAUAAUCCACGCUCUACAAAGAGUAAAGUUAGCUCUGACCUCGUCUCACCAGUGAGAACACAGCGGCAGCAAAGACUCGGGGAACUAGCCAUGGACCUAAGGCUGUUUAACGGCCUAGUAAGAGCACAAGUCCAAGACGUCUGAUGCUGGGGCAGUGCUUACUUGGUGUUACUUCCGGGUCAGAACUACAGCACUUCCUUUCAGAGUGGAGUCCUGAACCCUGGGGAGUGAAUGUCCAUCCUUGCGGAGAUCAGGAUUUUCAAACCGGUAUUGGUGCUCUCAUCUGACUCAACUCGGCCAUUUGGUCAGAACUGACAGGGAACAGUCCGUACUUGGUAGCCAUGACUCUUCAGAGAGGAGCCCAGAUGUGGAUCACACCUCAUCAUUUAGCUAACGCACUUAUUCUUAAUGCUCCGGGGACCUUCUGGCUUUGUCUGCGACUUAGGGAAACCAUCCGUUUCUUCCCUGACAGGACACUCUUUUCCCAAAACAAUCUUUUCCCUUUACCCUGGUACUCACUCCACAGCAUCUGGGAACUGGAUGUACUAAACAAAGUGUAGGGGGAGAGAAAGGCAGUCAUCCUCGGGGUGCUUACGUCCAGACAAUAGCAGGAAGGUUUGGCAGCCAGAGGUGUUUAUGCCAGAGAAUCUUGGCAUAAUGAGUGGAGAAAAGAGUUGGCAGAUGAGUAAGGAAGAAAAAGAAUUGACCGUGGGUUUUCCGGAGCUCAGAGAAAAGAGUUAGGUGGGGCUGUGCGAUGCCAAGCCAAGCCAUGCAAUGCAGUGCGUCAGUGGUCUUCUAGUCUGUUACAUUACUUUGGAUGCAAAACGUUCUGUAUGAUGUGUUCAGGAGGGGAGCUUGGAGGGAGACAUUCAGUAAUAGUGUACAGAAUUCUGAUAGAUUAACACCCCCCCCACACACACACACAUUUCGUGCACAGAUAAUAGCACUCUGUUGUAGAGAAGCUCAUAGCUGUUUCCCAUCUAGUUUAGCAGAGGACACAGUAAUGCUGAGUUGGGCAUGCAAGCCAAGCACCAUGGACGGGGUUCGGCGUCCUCAUCCCCCUGCUCCACUCAUGAAGAUGAGGCAGGUUCGCAGCGCGGAAUAAGCGACAUCAUCGUUUCUGAUCUUGUUGGAGUGUAACAGGGUAACGAGCAGUGGGAACUGGUGUGGAGAUGGAGAAAUUCUAUGCUGUUUCUUUACGUUUUUAAUCCACGACGGCGGGUCUUCGGGACAUGGAAACCAAGGUCUACUUCACAUCACCAGGACAACCAGAGCAUCAAUAUAGCUCCAGAGUGAUCAUGGCCUUGGCACGUUUCCUGAUCGACAGAGAAAACAAGCUCAGUCAUGGCCCGGACAGCACCACAUGUACUAUCCACAGAGAAGAAAACACCACCUCUUGUCCAUGGGAAGUUUCUGCCUAGGUCCUCUUUCCCUUUUUCAGGCCCUUUCUAUCACACGAAUGUUCUAAUUCCAGAACACUUAAUGGAGCAAAAUGCUGUCACCAAAGUGUAGCUUACUGGACCCCAGUGAUGGGAGUUGAGAUGCAGUAGACUUAGGUGAGAGGUCUGGAUGAGGACUGAUGGUCAGAAACUCAAAACAGGACAGGAAAGGCCAAACAAGUAGAACGGGUUGUAGAUUAACUGGGGUUGAACCUCUACCAGGAAAAAGAUCUGUUGUCUGCAUUCCUGAAUCAUGGUGUCUAUUUGCUUCUAAGUUCCUACAGUGAGGGAGGGGCUUUUGAUUGCUUUGUUUGUUGUUUGUUUGUUGAGCUGAAGACCUGGCCUGAAACUACAGUGACAAUGCACUUCCCUGAAGGUGUAGUUACAAAGCUCGGAUUCUGUGUUGGGAAACAGAUGGUGCUUCAUGCAUACUGCAUAUUAAAAACCAUCAUAUCUGUGUUUAUACUCACAGGUGCCACUGCACAUUAGCAAAUGGGUGAAGUAAAAGAUACCAGUGAAAUCACUCGCACAGAGGGAUGUUCUCUUAAAAGGAUAUGUGCAUUUAAAUGUUCCCAACAACUGUCAAACACAUCACUAACGAUGUCUCAGAGACAGAGGGCAGUCCAGCCGUUCACAGGCAUUCACUUUCUCUGUCAUCACGAUAAAGUCUCUCUGGGCAUGCAGAGGUUCAUAGGUUUCUCUUUUCUCGCUGCCUGAGCUUCUUUUGUUUUUGUUUUUCCAAGACAAGGUUUCUCUUGUGUAAUCCUGGAUGUCUUGGAACUAGCUCCGUAGAGAGGCUGGCCUUGAACUCAGAGAUCCACCUAUUUUUAUCUCCAGAGUGCUGGGGUUAGAGGCAUGAGCAACCGCAGACUGGCUUUGUUGUUGUUACCGUCAUCAUCAUCAUCAUCAUCAUCAUCAUCAUCAUCAUCAUCAUUUAAAUCACUACCUGAACCUUUAUAGUUCCUAUUCUUGUGACUGGCUAAGACUUUCACCUGAGACUUUCACCACCCAUUUACCUUACAUUUUCCACAAGGAAUAGCAGGAAUGAACAGGAAACCCCAGGAUUCUUUACUUCAAUGUUUCUAUAGUGUAGUGAUCAGAUUUCCACUAAUCAGAUUUACUUAGAAAUUCUAACCCUGGAGAGUUUGUGAAGAGGAAGAUAUUUUUAGAGUGAGCCAAUACAGGCUUUUGAAAUUUCAGAACUGAAUAGAAGGCAUAAGUACUUUAUCCUAAUGGCAUGUGGAGAACAGUUAGUUUACCAGGGUCAGAAGCUAACCACAGUUAGCCAAGUGCUGAGAAAGGG